CCUACGGGUGACAGCAGUGAGGAAUAUUGGUCAAUGGACGAGAGUCUGAACCAGCCAAGUAGCGUGAAGGAUGACUGCUCUAUGGGUUGUAAACUUCUUUUAUAUGGGAAUAAAAUGUUCCACGUGUGGGAUUUUGUAUGUACCAUAUGAAUAAGGAUCGGCUAACUCCGUGCCAGCAGCCGCGGUAAUACGGAGGAUCCGAGCGUUAUCCGGAUUUAUUGGGUUUAAAGGGAGCGUAGGUGGAUUGUUAAGCCAGUUGUGAAAGUUUGCGGCUCAACCGUAAAAUUGCAGUUGAAACUGGCAGUCUUGAGUACAGUAGAGGUGGGCGGAAUUCGUGGUGUAGCGGUGAAAUGCUUAGAUAUCACGAAGAACUCCGAUUGCGAAGGCAGCUCACUGGACUGCAACUGACACUGAGGCUCGAAAGUGUGGGGAUCAAACAGGAUUAGAUACCCUUGUAGUC
rnacentral:rRNA from 1 species